ACUUAAGUAGCUUAAAUUGAAAGCCUAGUAUUGAAGAUACUAUUAUAGGAAUAAUCCUCUUAAGUA
rnacentral:tRNA from 1 species